UACGAAGGGGGCGAGCGUUUGUUCGGAUUUACUGGGCGUAAAGGGCGCGCAGGCGGCGGACCAAGUCAGGCGUGAAAGCCCCGGGCUUAACCUGGGAGGUGCGUCUGGGACUGGUAUGCUAGAGUUCGGGAGAGGAGAGUGGAAUUCCCAGUGUAGAGGUGAAAUUCGUAGAUAUUGGGAAGAACACCGGUGGCGAAGGCGGCUCUCUGGACCGAGACUGACGCUGAGGAGCGAAAAGCAUGGGGAGCGAACAGG
rnacentral:rRNA from 1 species